rnacentral:rRNA from 1 species
AGAUACCCUCUUAUUUAAAAUGUAAUUUAUUUACUAGAGUAGUUAUAGUUAUGUUCUUGAAACUUAAAAAAUUUGGCGGUAUUUUAGUCUAUUCAGAGGAACUUGUUCUAUAAUCGAUAAUCCCCGUUGGACCUUACUUAAUUUUGUUUGUCAGUUUAUAUACCGCCGUUAUUAGAAUAUUUUAUAAGAAUUAAUAAUUUUCAAUAUUUAAAAUAAAAAUUUAUAUCAGGUCAAGGUGUAGCUUAUAAUUAAGAAAGUAAUGAGUUACAAUAAAAUUAUUUAUGCGAAUAUAGUAUUGAAAAAUAUUAUUAAAGAUGGAUUUGAUAGUAAAAUUUUAUAGAUAGAAAAUUUGAUUUUAGCUCUAAAAUAUGUACACAUCGCCGGUUCGCCU